AAAUCUAUUUUCUUCAAUUCAUGUAUUAUAAAUAUUUUCUUUCAAUUCUCUUUGGUUGUUGCUGUUUUUUUUUUAAAUAUCCCCUGUUUAGAUCUCAAUUUUCUUAAUUUGGAUCUUGGUAAUGCCCAUGGUUGAAUAAUAUGGUAUCUACAAAAAUAUAAGUAUUGUUACUAGAGAAAAAAAUACUAAAAGAAAAAAUCAAUUUCAAUUGUUAAUAAAGUCUGUUUGUAUGAUUAUUCUCUUUGAAUCAUCAAUUACGUAAUCACUGUGAUCCAUAAUUUUCCAUGAAACAAUAAACUUUGAUUCCUUCUGAACAGAACAGGGUCGGGAUUGGUAAAGUAGGAGUCUAUUAAAACAAAGGAAAUAAAUGACUGUGUAAUUGCAGCUUCAUCAAUAUAAUGUUGUUCUGUGUUUCUUUCUUUAGAAUAUGUCUGAUCCUUUUUACAAAUUGUGUUAUUGCUUACUGUAAAUAAUUGUAUGUUAGCACAGUAACACACAGUUCACUCAUGUGACCACUGUAGUUGAUGUCUUAGCUCAAAUGGAAGAGCACAUGGUUCUUAACCAUGUAGCUGUGGGUUCGACUCCCACAGAUGGCAUUGUUAUUUGAGUAGGCUUAAACCUCACAUGCUUCCAUUGACAAUAUUAGCUCAUCGUUACAUAGUGCAACACAUGAAUUAAGAGGGGUGUAAUAUUUCAUCGUGGUACUUAGGAAGCAUCUAAAUGGAACAAUUUCUUUCAAAUUCUUUGUGACGUCUUUCAAAGCAAUGAUAUUCAUGUCUGCAGGGUAGAGAAUUACACAAGUGAAGGAUAUCCUGGGACUUGGGAGCAUAACCGGUCAAGAUUUUUUCCGUUCCUCCAUUUUUUUAUAGAGUCGAGACUUGGUUCUCUAAUUGAGCUGGAAAAGAAUCAAGCUGAGAUAAUUCACAUCAAUAGUUGAGAAGCCAGUGGCAUCAGGAAGUUCUGCUGAAGCUAUGUCGUAAUAUGGUAUUUUUUAGAAAAAUUUGCUGAACUCACAACGAAUUAAUACAUUGUACCGAGGAAACCAUCCUCAACACUCAACUACAUGAUAUCGGGUUGCAUGUAACACAAAGUUAAAUUUACAUUUGGAAUUUGGUGUA